rnacentral:rRNA from 1 species
AUUGAACGCUGGCGGCAGGCCUAACACAUGCAAGUCGAACGAGUGGCGGACGGGUGAGUAAUGUCUGGGAAACUGCCCGAUGGAGGGGGAUAACUACUGGAAACGGUAGCUAAUACCGCAUACCAUCGGAUGUGCCCAGAUGGGAUUAGCUUGUAGGUGGGGUAACGGCUCACCUUGGCGACGGUCCCUAGCUGAUCUGAGAGGCUGACCGUCCAGCUUGGAACUGGUACACGGUCCAGGAUCCUACGGGAGGCAGCAGUAGGGAAUAUUGCACAAUGGGCGCAAGCCUGAUGCAGCCAGGCCGCGUGUAUGACGAAGGCCUUCGGGUUGUAAAGUUCUUUCAGCGAGGAGGCGUUACUCGCAGAAGAAGCCCCGGCUAACUACGUGCCAGCAGCCGCGGUAAUAC